ACAGUGUCCAUGUGAUGCAAUUUAGGCAGAGGGAUUAUAAUUUGCCAGAGGCCAUUCUAUGAGCAGCAGAUGUACAAAAUACUUUGAUCCUGAAUGACCCUGUCCAAAAUCAACUGUUUGGGUCAUGACUUCCUCCUACCAUUUCCUGUGACUGCUGACAGUUUUAACUCACGCUAGUUACAGGCUCACGCCUUGAACAUUUUGUUUCUCAAGUACCUACUCUUCCUGCAGAAUGGAGAUAAUACUUAACUUACCUACAGUACCUCUAUGGGGUAUUAUGCAGCUUAAUUAAUGUUUGCAAAAUAAAAAAAACCUUCUGAAAUCCAUAAAUGAGUGCAAAAAUAAUCAUUUUAUAUUUCAAUUUCACUCUUUAAUUAACAGACUGCCAAACACAUUUUCCAAGCCGCUAACCUGUCUAACAUGAACAAUUUAAAAAUAACGAAAGUGAAGAUUUUUUUAAAAUGAGCUUUAAAAAAUAUGACCAUUACUGAGUUUGAUUCUCUGCUCAGCAAACAAAGCUUCGGGAGCCAACUCACCUUUUGGCUUUGCUUUUAUAGGACACCUGCCUUGGCCCUUUAAAGAUGAUUGUAGUGGGAAUGCAUUCAGUGGUUAUGGCAUACAGCUACUGAUUUAUCAAGCAUUCAAUAUUUUGAAUGGAAUUUCAAACAGCAGACGCUUGCUUUUCCUUCUUCCUGCUCCUGUGUUCUAGAGAAUUAAUCAUUUGCUGUAUGCUGUGAGCAAGAAAAAAUAAUUACACAUGCUGUAUCUCAGACCCUUCAUAAUUACACUUUAAAUUGGUUUACUAUGAA